rnacentral:rRNA from 1 species
GACGAACGCUGGCGGCGUGCUUAACACAUGCAAGUCGAGCGGUAAGGCCCUUUCGGGGGUACACGAGCGGCGAACGGGUGAGUAACACGUGGGUGACCUGCCCUCAGCUCUGGGAUAAGCCUGGGAAACCGGGUCUAAUACCGGAUAUGACUCCAUGACGCAUGUUGUGGGGUGGAAAGCCUUGUGCGGCUGAGGAUGGGCCCGCGGCCUAUCAGCUUGUUGGUGGGGUGAUGGCCUACCAAGGCGACGACGGGUAGCCGGCCUGAGAGGGCGACCGGCCACACUGGGACUGAGACACGGCCCAGACUCCUACGGGGAGGCAGCAGGUGGGGAAUCUUGCGCAAGUGGGACGAAAGCCUGACGCAGCGACGCCGCGUGAGGGA